rnacentral:rRNA from 1 species
CCUACGGGUGGCAGCAGUGGGGAAUAUUGGACAAUGGGCGCAAGCCUGAUCCAGCCAUGCCGCGUGUGUGAAGAAGGCCUUCGGGUUGUAAAGCACUUUCAGUGGGGAAGAAAGCCUUGGGGCUAAUACCCUCGAGGAAGGACAUCACCCCCAGAAGAAGCACCGGCUAACUCCGUGCCAGCAGCCGCGGUAAUACGGAGGGUGCGAGCGUUAAUCGGAAUUACUGGGCGUAAAGCGCGCGUAGGCGGUCUGAUAAGCCGGUUGUGAAAGCCCCGGGCUCAACCUGGGAACGGCAUCCGGAACUGUCAGGCUAGAGUGCAGGAGAGGAAGGUAGAAUUCCCGGUGUAGCGGUGAAAUGCGUAGAGAUCGGGAGGAAUACCAGUGGCGAAGGCGGCCUUCUGGACUGACACUGACGCUGAGGUGCGAAAGCGUGGGUAGCAAACAGGAUUAGAUACCCUAGUAGUC